rnacentral:lncRNA from 1 species
AUGUUUCAUGAUGGACUGCUUCUCUCUCCGCCAGGACGUCCGAAACUCCACCUUUCCGGCUCCAGGACCAGAGUGGCCCUGGCACAGGAAACCCUUUCGUUUGCUUUUCAUUCGACCGUGCCGGGAAACGCCUCCGUCCGCAGGAAUGAGUUUGAGUGCUUCUUCGGUCACAAGAAGGUGUACAGCCUGGUGACCAGCAGCCCCAACACGAGCUUUUCCAUCAGCCUACGCAACAGCUCGGAGUCUGGAGAGUACUACUGCACGCGGUACGGUGCUCAGGCGCACUGGGUCAUCCUGGUUCGAGGUGAGCACCAGUCAGGAUGGGGAGAUGGGUGGCAUGUGGUACGAAUGGUUUUUACAGUCUUGCAAAAUGAAACGGAACAGGAACGAGAACCAAGAGGAACUUGCAAUAUUUCACUUCUGCAUCUUGUUACCGUUCUCCUGUGCCGGUUUUUAGACGAGGGCUACCAGGAAGGCGACGGGGAGACUCUGGAGACUCUGGCUCCAGUGUUUCUUUUGAUAGUCCUCCUGUUCAUCUUCAGCCUAGCCGGAUCCAUAUACACAUUCAAAAGGGAGAAGAGCCAGUCAGAGUCACGCCAUGCCCAGGAUGGCGGUGGUGCUGGUGGUGGCAGGGGCAGCAGUAGUGAGGCAAGGCCUGAAGAGGACGUUGGCCCUUCAUCACUCUACGCUGCGCUGGAGUCCCGCCCGGCUUCCAUUUAUGAUGUUCUGAAUAAAUCGGCGAUGAGGAGCCAGAGAGGACCGAGUCAAGAACACAGAAAGGAGAUCAAGACUACAUCAACUGAAGGGGAGAUUUUUGAAUCAGUCUAUGAAAAUUUGUGAUGUGUAACACAACAUGUAUAAUGGUCUAAAUUAGACAUCUGUACUGAAUCUGUUUUACGUUUUACAGUUGAAAAUGUGGAUGUUCAUGUUGCUAAUUUAUUCAUGUUGACAUGCAAAAUGUAAUUGAUGAAUUCAAAUAAUGGUACAGUGCAGAUACAUUUUAUGUUUAUUCCAGUGUGUAUUCAUCACUUCUUGUACUGUAACAAACACAUUUCUGAAUACAUAUAUGGCAAUGUAUUCAAAUUCAGCCAUCACUGUUUUUUUUUUUUAUUAUUCAUAUUUGUCUAUAUGUAGGGAACACCGGGUCUGCUUUGUGUCAGACUCAGCCAAACUCUGUAGACUGUUUGGUGCAGUGCAUUAGUAGGUACGACACCGGAGUAAAGCAGCUGCGGCUGAGCAGGGCGUCACAGAAAUGUUGUUUGGGGUCAUUCAUUUAAGAUAUGGACGUACGGUUUCAUGUCUUGAAUUAAGUCAUGGUUGAAUAUCCAGG